rnacentral:pre_miRNA from 2 species
GAAAUAUUUCCUUCAUCCGAUAAUACUUGUCGAAGAAAUGAAUGUAUUUAGACAUAUUUUAGUUAUACAUAUAUUCAUUUUUAUCCAUUUUCCGUAACAAGUAUUUUCGAACGGAGGGAGUAAGAG